AUUGAACGCUGGCGGCAUGCCUUACACAUGCAAGUCGAACGGCAGCACGGGAGCAAUCCUGGUGGCGAGUGGCGAACGGGUGAGUAAAGCAUCGGAACGUGCCCAGUCGUGGGGGAUAACGUAGCGAAAGCUACGCUAAUACCGCAUACGAUCUGUGGAUGAAAGCGGGGGACCGUAAGGCCUCGCGCGAUUGGAGCGGCCGAUGUCAGAUUAGGUAGUUGGUGGGGUAAAGGCUCACCAAGCCGACGAUCUGUAGCUGGUCUGAGAGGACGACCAGCCACACUGGGACUGGGACACGGCCCAGACUCCUACGGGAGGCAGCAGUGGGGAAUUUUGGACAAUGGGGGCAAGCCUGAUCCAGCAAUGCCGCGUGCAGGAUGAAGGCCUUCGGGUUGUAAACUGCUUUUGUACGGAGCGAAAAGGCUUCCACUAAUACUGGGGGCUCAUGACGGUACCGUAAGAAUAAGCACCGGCUAACUACGUGCCAGCCGCCGCCGUAAGAC
rnacentral:rRNA from 1 species